rnacentral:rRNA from 1 species
GACGAACUGUCCUAACGUUGUUCGGAAUCACUGGGCUUAAAGGGCGCGUAGGCGGUCCGACAAGUCAGGGGUGAAAUCCUGCAGCUUAACUGCAGAAGUGCCUUUGAUACUGUCGGUCUUGAGGGAGAUAGGGGUGUGCGGAACUCACAGUGGAGCGGCGAAAUGCGUUGAUAUUGUGAGGAACGCCGGAGGCGAAAGCGGCGCACUGGAUCUCUUCUGACGCUGAGGCGCGAAAGCUAGGGGAGCAAACGGG